GACGAACGCUGGCGGCGUGCUUAACACAUGCAAGUCGAACGGAAAGGCCCUGCUUUUGUGGGGUGCUCGAGUGGCGAACGGGUGAGUAACACGUGAGUAACCUGCCCUUGACUUUGGGAUAACUUCAGGAAACUGGGGCUAAUACCGGAUAGGAGCUCCUGCUGCAUGGUGGGGGUUGGAAAGUUUCGGCGGUUGGGGAUGGACUCGCGGCUUAUCAGCUUGUUGGUGGGGCAGUGGCUUACCAAGGCUUUGACGGGUAGCCGGCCUGAGAGGGUGACCGGCCACAUUGGGACUGAGAUACGGCCCAGACUCCUACGGGAGGCAGCAGUGGGGAAUAUUGCACAAUGGGCGGAAGCCUGAUGCAGCAACGCCGCGUGCGGGAUGACGGCCUUCGGGUUGUAAACCGCUUUCGCCUGUGACGAAGCGUGAGUGACGGUAAUGGGUAAAGAAGCACCGGCUAACUACGU
rnacentral:rRNA from 1 species